rnacentral:rRNA from 1 species
AGUGAACGCUGGCGGUAGGCCUAACACAUGCAAGUCGAACGGCAGCACAGUAAGAGCUUGCUCUUACGGGUGGCGAGUGGCGGACGGGUGAGGAAUACAUCGGAAUCUACUUUUUCGUGGGGGAUAACGUAGGGAAACUUACGCUAAUACCGCAUACGACCUACGGGUGAAAGCAGGGGAUCUUCGGACCUUGCGCGAUUGAAUGAGCCGAUGUCGGAUUAGCUAGUUGGCGGGGUAAAGGCCCACCAAGGCGACGAUCCGUAGCUGGUCUGAGAGGAUGAUCAGCCACACUGGAACUGUGACACGGUCCAGACUCCUACGGGAGGCAGCAGUGGGGAAUAUUGGACAAAGGGCGCAAGCCUGAUCCAGCCAUACCGCGUGGGUGAAGAAGGCCUUCGGGUUGUAAAGCCCUUUUGUUGGGAAAGAAAAGCAGCAGGUUAAUACCCCGCUGUUCUGACGGUACCCAAAGAAUAAGCACCGGCUAACUUCGUG